GAUGAACGCUGGCGGCGUGCCUAAUACAUGCAAGUCGAGCGAACGGACGAGAAGCUUGCUUUUCUGAUGUUAGCGGCGGACGGGUGAGUAACACGUGGAUAACCUACCUAUAAGACUGGGAUAACUUCGGGAAACCGGAGCUAAUACCGGAUAAUAUUUUGAACCGCAUGGUUCAAAAGUGAAAGACGGUCUUGCUGUCACUUAUAGAUGGAUCCGCGCUGCAUUAGCUAGUUGGUAAGGUAACGGCUUACCAAGGCAACGAUGCAUAGCCGACCUGAGAGGGUGAUCGGCCACACUGGAACUGAGACACGGUCCAGACUCCUACGGGAGGCAGCAGUAGGGAAUCUUCCGCAAUGGGCGAAAGCCUGACGGAGCAACGCCGCGUGAGUGAUGAAGGCCUUCGGAUCGUAAAACUCUGUUAUUAGGGAAGAACAUAUGUGUAAGUAACUGUGCACGUCUUGACGGUACCUAAUCAGAAAGCCACGGCUAACUACGUG
rnacentral:rRNA from 1 species